GUGGCGGGGGCGGGGGCGGUGAAUCUCGCCUCCGACCCUGCCGCGGCCCUGGAGCCACUGGCGCGCCUCCGCGCCGCUGCCCCCAGGGACUCUCCUGGUGGAGACCCGCGCGCUCCCGGGCUCGGGCAAGUCGCGAGACCGGCGUGAGAGGUGUGUGUAUGGGAACACACUUACUCCCAGAGGAGCAAGAGGCGAGGCCCACACAGCCCGGCGCUCCUCCGUCCCAGGUUUCGCCCUGCGGGCCGCGCGCAAACCGGACUUCGCGUCUGAGCCGCGGCGGGGACUGCACCUGCUCCUGUUCCACGCUGCGGCGAGGCCCCCUCGCAGCCCUCCGCGCCGUGGACGCACUCGGACUUCGGGGGUUGCGGGCCACACGUGGGCACGAGAGCCGCGCGGCUGGAGUGGAUGGAGAGUCAGGCUCCCCAGACGCCAGAGGUCUCCUGGACUUAGAGAGGGGUCUCGGCACGUCCCCCUGGCACUGAAGGAAAUUAUUUAGGAGAUGGCGUCGCGGCGCGGCUUUUGGCGCUCGCUCGCUCCUCCAGCCUCCCGCGUGGUUAGAAACGCUGCCCGGGAACGUGGGCGGAAGGGGGCGCAAUGCGCACGCUGCCCGUAGUUGGGGGCGCGUGGUGGUGGCCAGAGGUCGUUCAGGGCGCGCAGGAGGCACAGGGGCCUUCGCGCGCAGGGCCGCGGUCACAUGGGGUGGUGGGCGCCCGCGGCCGUGACGCUCUGGUGCGUGGACCUGAGCCCCGAUGCGCGCGGCCCCUGCGCGUCUCCCACUCGCCCUUCUGCUCGGGUCGCUCUGCCCUCGCUCGGCUCCUGCCUCUCAGAUUCUUUCCUCGCGGGGAGUGGGGACUGGACGGAGCUGGGACCCGUGUGGCACGGACGAGAGGCGCCGGGCACCGGUGCGGGUGGGUCGGGGUGUCUGGUGGGGUGGGAAGCAGAAGUCGCGCUUCCCGAGCUGUCCCGGACGGAGCGCGGCUCCGGGAGGCGCAGCCUUCGUGGGGGAGACGGGCGCGUGCGAGAUGGAGAAGAGGAGGAGGAAGAGGAAGGUCUCACGCCCCCUCGGUGGCCCCUAGACCCUUCUGAGUGCCGGUACAGACGAGCGCGUUUUCGUGCAAAACCACGGACUUUUUUUUUUUUUUUCUUUUCCUCAAUUCAGGAGCGUUUCCCCCACGAAGGGCAUCGGGUAGCUGAAUGACUUCAAAUUUCCACUGUGCGUUUUACGAAAAUGGCCCCAACUCCACCACCCUCUCCGCUUUUUAGGGGGCGGAAACAAAAUAAGCUUGGGCAUUGCACGCACGCUCCCGCCAGCCUGCGGGUGUGCACAGGUUUAUUAACUUCCCCGGAUUCCUCUCUGAGCUCCUCUCGCGGCCGCUUUUGCCCUGGGGUGCAGCGAGCCCUCGGGCGCCUUGCUGGGUCGGGCGCGCAGACCCUUCCCGCCGCCUUCCUCCUCGUGGGAGAGGCGAUCGGAAACUCCCGUGAGCGCGGCUCCGCUGCCACAGGACCCAGACUAGUGAAACCGCUGUAGUAUGAUGCCGGAGACCUGGUGUCAACCUUGCGUUUAAUUUUGGCGAGUUCCUCCCAUUUGCCAGGCCCUGAGCUGGGAUGGGCGCCAAGGAACAGGGGGGGAAGGUGGGUCACAGCUGGGAGAGUUUAUAGAGAAAUCUAACUUUUGAGCGGGUACUCGCACAGUGGACAGGUGGACCUGGCUCCUCCUGGCGCACCCGGCACCGUUUUUACACUUGCUUCGGCGCCCUCCACGCGGGACCGAAAGCAAAGGCUCCAAUACCUGUUAAACAAUUAAGCAAAGUUGUGAGUUCUGCCAAACUCACGCGCGAGGUUUCCAUUUAGCCUCAUGCCUAUGCCAUCAGUUUGGGAAAAGCUGACAGCUCCAAGUAGGUAAAGAUGAGAAGAGAGACGCCCCAACCCUGGGGGAAUCCCACAGCUAACCCCGCUCACCGGUUCCUGCGGAGAGCGCGAGGUGGACCGGACCUCAUGGCCUGAGAUGCAGCAGGCAAGUUUUUCUGAAAGCUAAUCCCUGAAACGGAAGUCCACACUCAUCACCUUGCACAAACAUGUAAAUUUCGGAGCAGCCUGAAAUGGGCCAUGGAAGAAGAAGGCUUGCUUCCGGUUGAACCCGCAGCGGAUCGCUUAAAAGUUGCAAAUCUUCCGCUGAGGGUUAGAGAGGCAAUCACCGAGAAUGUCCUAGCUCCAAGGACAGGGCACGGGCUCCAUGGGGAGCUGGAAAAUUUAUAUUUGUACAAAACCCCUUUGAACAAUGAUUUGACAGUAAAUAUCUUUUCCUUUUGUCUGUG